rnacentral:lncRNA from 1 species
UAUCAAUUUGACGAAUUAAAUUACCGUCACUAAAUAGACCAUAUGAGCAUGCCCAAGCCAAAUGAAUCAACAAUUAGACUAGCAAUAAGCAAGUGCAUGUCAUAAAAAUAAUCCCAAGUAAAGCACAAGUGAUGCAACUCAUAACGCAAAUUCCUAAAAGGAAAACUACUCCUUGAAAAUUAGUGCUCUUCUAAAUAACUCACUCCCCUUAAGCUAUACCCCGAUGACUUUCAAGCUAGAAUGCAAGAGAGGAACAUACAAACAUAACUCUUUAGAAUGGAACUUGUCCUCAGAGACAUAGCCACCUAAUCCAAACUGACCCGAUAUGUCUUCUUCCAAUAAGUGGACAGAAGCUGCAGUAAUACUAUAGGCGCAUAAUUCAAAGCAUACAACCUCUAGGGUUUUGAGGAAAGGACCAAAACCAUAGAUAACUUAAAUGAAUGGUGGAGAUAGAGUAGAAUUGUAACUUGACAUGAGAGAACCACAAAAGAAUAGAGUUAGGAAAUGAACU